GGAGGAGUAGCGAAGUGGCUAAACGCGGCGGUCUGUAAAACCGCUCUCUCUGAGUUCGGCGGUUCGAAUCCACCCUCCUCCC
rnacentral:tRNA from 1 species